CCUGAUCCAGCCAUGCCGCGUGUGUGAAGAAGGCCUUUUGGUUGUAAAGCACUUUAAGCAGGGAGGAGAGGCUAAUGGUUAAUACCCAUUAGAUUAGACGUUACCUGCAGAAUAAGCACCGGCUAACUCUGUGCCAGCAGCCGCGGUAAUACAGAGGGUGCGAGCGUUAAUCGGAAUUACUGGGCGUAAAGCGAGUGUAGGUGGCUCAUUAAGUCACAUGUGAAAUCCCCGGGCUUAACCUGGGAACUGCAUGUGAUACUGGUGGUGCUAGAAUAUGUGAGAGGGAAGUAGAAUUCCAGGUGUAGCGGUGAAAUGCGUAGAGAUCUGGAGGAAUACCGAUGGCGAAGGCAGCUUCCUGGCAUAAUAUUGACACUGAGAUUCGAAAGCGUGGGUAGCAAACAGGAUUAGAUACCCUGGUAGUCCACGCCGUAAACGAUGUCUACUAGCCGUUGGGGUCCUUGAGACUUUAGUGGCGCAGUUAACGCGAUAAGUAGACCGCCUGGGGAGUACGGCCGCAAGGUUAAAACUCAAAUGAAUUGACGGGGGCCCGCACAAGCGGUGGAGCAUGUGGUUUAAUUCGAUGCAACGCGAAGAACCUUACCUGGUCUUGACAUAGUGAGAAUCCUGCAGAGAUGCGGGAGUGCCUUCGGGAACUCACAUACAGGUGCUGCAUGGCUGUCGUCAGCUCGUGU
rnacentral:rRNA from 1 species